rnacentral:rRNA from 1 species
GACAGAGGAUGCAAGCGUUAUCCGGAAUGAUUGGGCGUAAAGCGUCUGUAGGUGGCUUUUCAAGUCCGCCGUCAAAUCCCAGGGCUCAACCCUGGACAGGCGGUGGAAACUGCCAAGCUGGAGCACUGUAGGGGCAGGUGGAACUCCGGGUGUAGCGGUGGAAUGCGUAGAGAUCCGGAAGAACACCAGUGGCGAAGGCGGCCUGCUGGGCAGUGGCUGACGCUGAGGCGCGACAGCGUGGGGAGCAAACAGG